UUUAUUUUUUUCUUUUUUCUUUUUUUUCCUUCUUUUUUUUUUUUUUUUUUUUUUGUACAGCAAUCACCUUUCGUAAAGUAGUUCUGCUGUUGUAGGGGUGAUGUGGGGCACAGGAGGCCGUGGAGAGUAAAGAGAAAUGAACAGCAGAAGGGGAUUGGAGGGAAAUGUGUUUGCCAGCUGGCGGGCUCGCAAGCCCGUUUUAGAAGUAAUCAGGAGUCAUCAGAUGCUUAGCCCGAGUCUGCUGAGCGUCUUGUGACCCUGUAAAUGUUUUCUUGGUAUCAAAGGGAUCUGCUUCUCUCUGCAGUCCUCCCUCCUCAGAGGACAGCCUGGGACUUUUUGGGAGUCUUUCCUCUUUGGUGACAACUUUGCUGACUUCUUCCAAUUCCUUUCUUGAAAUCUAGCCCUGAAUCCUGAAGUGGACACUAGGAGUGGUGGUAUAUGCCAGCUCUUAGGGGAAGUGGGUACCCAGGUCCUCACUGUCCUAACACAGGCAAUAGUAUGAUUGUGUUAGUCAGAAUGUGGAAGCCAGGCCUUAAGCAAGCUAUGUGCCUCCUCCUCAGGUUCUGUUCUAAGAAACAAAGAGCCCAGAAAAUUCCAUUCUGUACAGCCCUACCAUAGCCCCUGUAACCUUGAGUCGCCCACCCCAGCUUGGCUCUGGAGGCACAUUAAAGCAAGCCUCGCCCCUCCCAGCUGUGAUCUGCCCACUUGCUCUUUCUCUUCAUCUCUGGUCUGGGAUUCCUGGCUGUGCUCCCUGGCUUUGAUAUUUGCUUCUAAGUUCUCUGGUUUGGCAACUCAUCACAUUCCCCCCAUGGCUUUGGAGGCCUCUGGAUUUUGUUGGUCAGCCCUCUGCUGUGUCUCCUCCUCUGAUUUUAUGUCCUUCCUUGGCCUUGCAUGAGGAACAUUCUGGUUUGGGCUCUGCAGAAUCCUACAGCUACGUCAGAGUUGGAAGUGGCAUUGAGAUAACUUGUGGUAGGGAGCAAGGAAGACCCCCCACUUCUGCCUGUGGCCACAGUUGCUCCUCUUGUGAGGGAGACACAGGCACAAGGCACCCACCCCUGUUGACAGCAGAGCUGUAACAUCAACCUAAUAUUCAAAGCACCAGGCCUUGAGCAUCCCACAAAUCGUUUCUGAGCACACAGGAAGUGUCUGGCUCUGUUCCAGUUCCUUGAGACAUGGCUGUGAAGAACACCAAAGCCUUGCAGGCAAGAAGACUGCAUUCUAAUUGGAGGAGUCAUACAGAAGAGAAAUAAAAUCAAGGCAGACCUCCCAAUAAUUUCUCUUGCUGAGAAGUGUUGGCAUAGAGUCUUGAGUCUGCCUCCAUACUUAGGAGCAUGGUCGCAUGCACAUGUGUUCAGGGACAGACACACACACACACACACACACACACCUCACCACUGGAAAUUCAGAAUAAACACCAUUGCUCU
rnacentral:lncRNA from 1 species